GUCUAGGUCUAUGUUGACACAUGCUGUGGCAACCUUGGGUGGCUGGUGAAUACGCAAUACGCAUCGUGAUACGCAUUGACACAGGAGGCUGUGGCAUUGAAUACGCCUCAAUAUCUGCAAUACCAAUGCCAAUACGGCGUCCACUGGAGUCAUCGUUAAGCGCCUAUUGUAUAUGUGUAGCUUAAGUGAGAAGUAAGUGGUGUUCGUUCCUCUGUUGCUGUUUCAUUUUCUUAAAUAUGUGGUGACACCGGCGGCAAGCAGACGACGUUCGACUGUGCGCUUGGAACGCGUUACCAUUUCGUUACCAUUCCUCCAGGUACUCUGGCGCGCCCACCGAUCUCGUAAACACCGUGCUCGUAAACCUUUCGUUAUGACUGAAAGUGCGAGAGUGGGAAAACGAUGCGGAUAUCGAGUGACGAUGACCAGGAAAAGUGAGAAGCAAUGUCGUCUGAAGACAGCAAAAAAACCUCACGAAGUAUGAACAACACCACGUGAGUGCGCUCCCAUCCGCAUCAUAAAGCAGCGCCCUCAAAUAAGCUGAUUCGAAGCAACUGCAUUGCCUGUCGCAAACCCAAAGAAACAGCGCAUCACCUUGAUAAUGCCAAAUUAAGCCUACAUACUUCAAGGUCACAGUCAACGACAGCGAUGAAUUGCUUCAACCAAGGUUUUCCUCUUGCAGUGAGAAAGGGCACCGGACUUGACUCUGCCAUUGGCACAGAAUAUCAUAUGAACAGUUAUACCUUACGCAAAAUUUCAAACGCAAGCUCCAAGUGAAGACAGGUGCUCUGAAAAGAAGACGAAAAAAAGAGAAGAAAAGGAAUUGAUAUGUUCGGAACAAACAUGGACAAAAAUUGACUCGCCAUCUCGGCGCUGUGAAAGUGGAUGUCCAGUGAAGCUGUUGAAAACCACCACUACAAUUGCUGGGGGGUUAUUAAAUGCUUUAUUGCUUUAGAGUAAUUAUAAUAAUGGUAAUUUAGAGUAAUGGUAGUAAUGUGAGUAUUGAUAAUUUUGAUAGCACACCGCCACCCAUAGCGGUGCCGCAACAACAUUGAAGUCAGUUGCUAGGCUGGUCCUUUCGUAUAUGCGAAAGGCUAUGGGCACGUCGCUCCCCACGACGGCCAUCGGCGCGGCAGCUUGCGCAGCAGGGAUGCUUACCGGGAAACGUAUGCGGGGAGCGCUACAUGCUUCGCAUUGUUCUCAGGAGCGCUUGAUCAUCAAUUGUGUGGCUUGAAUGCUUGUUUUCUACUUGUUCUUUAUUGAAACGAAUGCUGUUCUGUAUGUCGUAUGCGUGAUUUCAAAGAAUGUAUGCACUGUUUGCUUCACUUUUCUGA